rnacentral:rRNA from 1 species
GUGCCAGCAGCUGCGGUAAUACGUAGGUGGCAAGCGUUGUCCGGAUUUAUUGGGCGUAAAGCGAGCGCAGGCGGUUUUUUAAGUCUGAUGUGAAAGCCUUCGGCUCAACCGAAGAAGUGCAUCGGAAACUGGGAAACUUGAGUGCAGAAGAGGACAGUGGAACUCCAUGUGUAGCGGUGAAAUGCGUAGAUAUAUGGAAGAACACCAGUGGCGAAGGCGGCUGUCUGGUCUGUAACUGACGCUGAGGCUCGAAAGUAUGGGUAGCAAACAGGAUUAGAUACCCUGGUAGUCCAUACCGUAAACGAUGAAUGCUAAGUGUUGGAGGGUUUCCGCCCUUCAGUGCUGCAGCUAACGCAUUAAGCAUUCCGCCUGGGGAGUACGGCCGCAAGGCUGAAACUCAAAGGAAUUGACGGGGCCCGCACAAGCGGUGGAGCAUGUGGUUUAAUUCGAAGCUACGCGAAGAACCUUACCAGGUCUUGACAUACCAUGACAAAUCUAAGAGAUUAGACGUUCCCUUACGGGG